rnacentral:rRNA from 1 species
CCUCUUGUCAACUAUAAGAGGUCCCGCCUGCCCAGUGACUACAUGUUCAACGGCCGCGGUAUUAUGACCGUGCAAAGGUAGCGUAAUCACUUGUCUUUUAAAUAAAGUCUAGUAUGAAAGGCACCACGAAAGUUCAACUGUCUCCCACAUCUAAUCAGUGAAACUGAUCCCCCCGUGCAGAAACGGGGAUACUCUCAUAAGACGAGAAGACCCCAUGGAGCUUCAAACACGCAAGCAGCCGCUUUAAACCUCAUCUAACCACAAGCAAGCGGACAUGACCAGCUGUUUUCGGUUGGGGCGACCACGGAGAACAAAAAAUCCUCCGAGACGAAAGGGCCAACCCCCCUUACCCAAGAAUCACCACUCUAAGGAAUUGAAUAUCUAACAUCAUGAUCCAAUAUUUGAUCAACGAACCAAGUUACCCUGGGGAUAACAGCGCAAUCCAUUUUUAGAGCCCCUAUCGACAAAUGGGUUUACGACCUCGAUGUUGGAUCAGGGUACCCCAGUGGUGCAGCCGCUACUAAAGGUUCGUUUGUUCAACGAUUAAAACCCUACGUGAUCUGAGUUCAGACCGGAGCAAUCCAGGUCAGUUUCUAUCUAU